rnacentral:rRNA from 1 species
UACAGAGGUCCCAAGCGUUACUGAGAAUCACUGGGCUUAAAGGGUGCGUAGGUGGUCCGUUAAGUCAGUUGUGAAAUCCCCGGGCUCAACCCGGGAACUGCUUCUGAUACUGGCGGACUUGAGGCCAGUAGGGGUCACUAGAACUGACGGUGGAGCGGUGAAAUGCGUAGAUAUCGUCAGGAAUGCCGGUGGUGAAGACGGGUGACUGGGCUGGUUCUGACACUGAGGCACGAAAGCGUGGGGAGCGAACGGG